rnacentral:rRNA from 1 species
UACCGUGGGGGGAAAGUUGAAAAGAACUUUGAAGAGAGAGUUCAAGAGUACGUGAAACCGUUCAGGGGUAAACCUGAGAAACCCAAAAGAUCGAAUGGGGAGAUUCAUCGUCAGUCCCUUUGGCUUGCGUGUGGUUUUUUGCGAUGUCUUUUAUCGGGUGUUUCGUCGUUUCGGCGACGUCUACCCGGUCACGCUGCCACUGCGAUUUAAUGACCGAAGGGAUCGGCGUGCACUUCUCCCCUAGUAGGACGUCGCGACCCGCUGGGUGCCGGCCUACGGCCCGGUAGGUCGACUGUCGCGUCGCGUCUUUAAAAAGUCGCGUUCACGUCGACAGACCUCCGGUUAGCCCGGCCGGCUGCCCGGCGGUAUUCGAACGGAUUAUUUUAUAUGGUAUUGGGCCGCACGUUACGAAAAUUGAUUCGUAUCUGUGCGUUACGGCCCGUCGACUGGGCUCGUCUCGCUCGGAUUUUGAACGAACCUAGCUUUGUUGCCGAGCGUUUGACGCGGCCCGCAUGGUCGGCGGUGUCCUCGAACGGGCCCGGGCGUUCGCCCCCUCUAAAGGGCGAACGCGUUACCGGUCGGCGACGCUAUUGCUUUGGGUACUUUCAGGACCCGUCUUGAAAACCGGACCAAAA